UACGUAGGGUGCGAGCGUUAAUCGGAAUUACUGGGCGUAAAGCGUGCGCAGGCGGUUCGUUGUGUCUGAUGUGAAAGCCCCGGGCUCAACCUGGGAAUGGCAUUGGAAACUGGCGAGCUGGAGUGUGGCAGAGGGGGUGGAAGUUCCGCGUGUAGCAGUGAAAUGCGUAGAGAUGCGGAGGAACACCGAUGGCGAAGGCAGCCCCCUGGGCCAACACUGACGCUCAGGCACGAAAGCGUGGGGAGCAAACAGG
rnacentral:rRNA from 1 species